rfam:Apaloderma vittatum contig29930, whole genome shotgun sequence.
GGCUGGUUGGUUCAGUCAGUUGAGCGUGGCGCUAACAACGCGAAGGUCACGGGUUCGAUUCCUGUUCGGUCC